rnacentral:rRNA from 1 species
UACGGAGGGGGCUAGCGUUGUUCGGAAUUACUGGGCGUAAAGCGCACGUAGGCGGUUUCUCAAGUCAGAGGUGAAAGCCCGGAGCUCAACUCCGGAAUAGCCUUUGAAACUAGGAAACUUGAACGUCGGAGAGGUGAGUGGAAUUCCGAGUGUAGAGGUGAAAUUCGUAGAUAUUGGGAGGAACACCAGUGGCGAAGGCGGCUCACUGGACCGGUACUGACGCUCAUGCACGAAAGCGUGGGGAGCAAACAGG